rnacentral:rRNA from 1 species
UACGGGGGGGGCAAGCGUUGUUCGGAAUUACUGGGCGUAAAGGGCUCGUAGGCGGCCAACUAAGUCAGACGUGAAAUCCCUCGGCUUAACCGGGGAACUGCGUCUGAUACUGGAUGGCUUGAGUGCAGGAGAGGAACGCGGAAUUCCAGGUGUAGCGGUGAAAUGCGUAGAUAUCUGGAGGAACACCGGUGGCGAAGGCGGCGUUCUGGACUGCUACUGACAUUGAGGAACGAAAGCCAGGGGAGCAAACGGG